rnacentral:rRNA from 1 species
GAUGAACGCUGGCGGCGUGCUUAACACAUGCAAGUCGAACGAAGCACCUUACCUGAUUUCUUCGGACUGAAGGUCUGGUGACUUAGUGGCGGACGGGUGAGUAACGCGUGGGUAACCUGCCUCAUACAGGGGGAUAACAGUUAGAAAUGGCUGCUAAUACCGCAUAAGCGCACGGUAUCGCAUGAUACAGUGUGAAAAACUCCGGUGGUAUGAGAUGGACCCGCGUUAGAUUAGCCAGUUGGCGGGGUAACGGCCCACCAAAGCGACGAUCUAUAGCCGGCCUGAGAGGGUGAACGGCCACAUUGGGACUGAGACACGGCCCAG